GUGCUAGCUUCAACAGUAUAUACCGAAACUGAAAUGAUACAGGGAUUAGAAUGACACCUGUGGAAGGAUGACAUGCAAGUGUUUGAUACUUUUCCUUAGAAU
rnacentral:snRNA from 1 species